UGAUGAUUUUUGUAUAUUCUGUCAAUCCAAUGAGUGAAAUUGAUUACAAAUUCCUUUCUGAAAAGGAGUGUUAAUCUCUCUUGGUAUUUGUAAAUCCAUUUAGCUAAUUCCUGUCUCCCCUCCCCCCUUUUCUUUACAGGAUCUAAAAGGGGCAACCUUUUCAAGUGUGUUGUACGCAACUAUACAAAACCAUAGCUAUAGGAUUCUUGCGGCUUACCUGGCACAGUGGUAACACCCAAACCAAGUGUACGAGUUUGAAUCCUGGCAAAAGUUCAAAGAUGAAAAGGAAUGGUAUCCUUUUAAGUGAUAUGUUGUACGCUAAUAUAUAAAACCAAAGCCACAAUUUUUCUUGCGGCUUACCUGGCACAGUGGUAACACCCAAACCAAGUGUACGAGUUUGAAUCCUGGCAAAAGUUCCAAGACGAAAAGGAAAAGGCAAGGCAUCCUUUUGUGAUGUGUUGCUUGCAACUACUGUGGAUUCCUCUAAUUAUUGGAAACUAUAGAAGAUCUAAAAUGGGCAACCUUUGAAGUGAUAUGUUGUACUCCGAAUAUAUAAAACCAAAGAUGUAAGUUUCUUGCGGCUUACCUGGCACAGUGGUAACGCCCAAACCAAGUGCGUGAGUUUGAAUCCUGGCAAAAGUUCCAAGAUGAAAAGGAAAAGGCAAGGCAUCCUUUUAAGUGGUGUUGCUUGCAACUGCUGUGGAUCCCUUUAAUUAAUGGAAACAUUAGAAGAUCUAAAAUGGGCAACCUUUUCAAGUGAUAUACAAAUAUACAAAACCAUAGCUAUUAAUUUCUUGCGGCUGACCUGGGACAGCAGUAACACUCGCACCAAAUGCGCGAGUUUGAAUCUUGGCCAAAGUUCCAAGAUGAAAAGGAAUGGCAUCCUUUUAAGAGAUCCUGUGUACUGAAACCUCUCACUCUUAAGAUAUAGUUUGAUUGCCAACAAAGGUCUAUCCAGUUUGCUGAAUCUUCAGGUCUAUCCAGUUUGCUGAAUCUUCUCACUACAAAAAAACUUUCCACUUGAAUAAAA